UACAGAGGAGCCAAGCGUUGUCCGGAUUGACUGGGCGUAAAGCGCACGCAGGCGGUCGGGCGCGUGGGGUGUGAAAUCUGGCCGCUUAACGGCCAGGCGCCAUCCCAUACGGCUCGACUGGAGUGAUGCAGAGGUCGAUGGAAUUGCCGGUGUAGUGGUGAAAUGCGUAGAGAUCGGCAGGAACACCCAGGGGGAAACCAGUCGACUGGGCAUCUACUGACGCUGAGGCGCGAAAGCUAGGGUAGCAAACGGGG
rnacentral:rRNA from 1 species